AUAUAGUAUAUAUAUACUCCACAUAUACGUAUAUUAAUAUGGAUGGAUUUAAAAGAGCUUUUGUCACUGGGUUGUUGUGGGGAUGGAAGGCAUUACUGUGUAAAAUCGAGUGGUUAAUUAAUAAUAAUAUUAAUAACUAACAUUUCUAGAGAGCUUUAAAGUCCGCAAGGCAUAGUUAAGAAUAGCAGGUAAUUGGAUCCUCCCAGCUGAGAGGUAGAUGCUAUUGUUCUCUCUAAAAGGAAACUGAGUCAAAUAGAAAUUGAAAUGCCCAGGAUGAAACAGCUAGUGAAGUGCCUAAAGCAAGAUUUGAACUUGGGUCUUUUUGAUGGUCCCCAUAUUUGGGGGGAGGAGAGGAAAAAUGAGAUUAGUUGCAGAGGAGAGAGGGGAGGAAGUAGAGAUUCAGCGUUGCCCAUCCAUGGCGGUAAUAAAGAACCCGGAUUGGAAGUGGGUGCGGAGGAAUAUAGGCAAAACAGCAGAGGCUUUGGAGGGAGAAGACCUGGUGGUUUUCCAUACACAAGAGACCGGGGAUAAGUCACUUAAUUAUUCAACAUUUAUUAGGCACCUCCUGUAUGCCAGGCACUGUGCCAAUUGAUUGGGAUAGAAAAAGAGGCAAAAGACAGUUCCUGGAUGUCUUCCAAGUGGCCAAAGAUGACCCUUGAGUUUCUCUGGGGCUUUAAAUCUAGAUCCUUAGGUGGGGAAAGUCACUUUCCCUUUCUGGGUAGCAGUUUUCCCGUGGCUCAAAGGGGGAGCAGAACCCCUUUUCCUGCCUUUUGAUAGUUUCUGUAAGCCUCAGGUUUGAGGGGACUGGAAGUUUGUCAUCGUUCUCAGUAACUUCCAACUAGCUUGGAUAUUUUGCUUUCAAGUUUGCAGUCACGCUAUGUCAAAAAUAAGUGCCUACUAUGUGUCAAUAUCCACACAGUAGUCCUUGCUCUCAACGAGCUCCCAAUUGAAUGGGGGAGAAGCAUACAAGUGAUUCUGUACAAACAAAGGACAGGCCAGGAUAAAUCAGAAAUAAUCCGCAGAACAAAGCAUGAGCGUUAGUGGGAAUCGGGAAGGGCUUCUGGCAGAAAGAUGGGAUAUGGUCUGGGACGUGAAGAAAGCCAGGAGGCAGAGAUGAAGAGGAAGACUAUGCCAGGAGUGGGGGGGGGGGGGGGGGAACAGUCAGUGUUUUAUAUGGGUUAUCUCGUGUAAUCCUCACAAUCACCCCGUUUUGUGGGUCAGAGGUGUCAAGAGUGAGCCCGUCUGCUGUGGGUGCUUCUAAAUGCUUCCUAAUAGAACCCUAAAUCAGAUGAAAAUUAAAAUGUACUGGGGAACUAUUUCGCAGAAUAACUAAAAACAGAAUACAUUUUGUCAGUUUGUGGUUUUUCAAGUCAAUAUGUACCUGGCAGGGAUCCUUUUGUAGGGUUUUGUGGGGGAUUUUUUUGUAUUGGUUGGCAUGUUUCUCCUUCAGCCCAUUUUACAGAUGAGAAAACUGAGGCAGAGCAGAAGUGACUUGCUCAGGGUCAUCCAGCUAACGAAUGUCCGAGUCGGAGAUGAACUUUGGAGGAUAAGGAAACUGGAAAUCAGUCUCCAUCAAGGUCAGGCGGUGAUAUCAGUGACAAAGCUGGAUUUGAAUCAGAUGCUGCUCUUCCCCCCCCCCCCCCCCCCCCCCCCCCCCCAGUCACCCAGCCAUUAGGUCCUUCCCCUUUAAGGUUAUCUACCAUCCUCCAAAAAAAAUUAAAAUGCCUUAUCUCCGCAUUCAAAUGUAAGCCCUGGGAGGGCAGGGGAUUAUUUGCUUUUUCUUUGUGUCCCAGCCGGCAGCUGUUGAUAGAUCACCCUGGAAUCCACCCUUUUUCUUUCUUUCCUAGGGUCUUACCUCAUCCUUUUUGGGAGGGCAGCCAGUCCCUGGUGUUAGGGGCGGCCCAGACCCGGGCCCAGAACCCUGAAAAUCUGGCCCUGGGGCGGGCGCCUUGCUCCAGAAUUCUCAUUGGCGCUGCUCCCUGCCCAACCUCCCUCCUCCUCCUCUUCCUCUGUCACUGCCCUCAGCUCUAAGUGUGGGCAAAGUGCCUUCGGCGUGUCCAUCCCCACAGCGCCCAGUGACCGUCAGAGUCAGAAAGGGGUGUGGCGCGGAGGGGACAAGGUCCCUUUUCCUUGGGAUUAGGAGAAAAGGUUAGUGGGUGAGAGGUCAGGGGAACUCUGGAGUGCUUGGCUGGACUGGCCGGGGAAGACCGGAGUUCCAAUUCUGGCCCUGCUGAUAACUUGGGAUGGGGGGAUGGAAGAGGAGAAGUCGGGAGCCCUGGGUUCCAAUCCUCAGCCUGCCGCUGACUUAGCUGCCUGAUGCUGGGUGAGUCCCUUCUCCUCCCUUCCCUUGGGCCUUGGUUUCCUCUUUUGUAAAAUAUGGGUAUUGAGCUAUGUGAGCUCCACAUCCCCAGGCCAAACAUCUUGGGAUUCUAUAGAUCUGGGAUAGAAUUCUGUACAGAUCCUGGAGUCUACCUGUCUAUGUGACCUUGAGCCUCAUUUUACUCAUCUGUAAAAUGGGAAUAAUAGCAGGAACCCCUGGUCUUACUGCGAGGCUCAGAUAAGUGCAUGGAAAAUGUUUUGGAAACCUUCAAGAUGUAGAGAGAGGGAUGUACCUGGUACUGGCAGAAGGAAAUCUGCUAGUGCAGGUGGCACCUUCCCUGGAGGGCAGCUCCGUGGCACAGUAGAGAAGAAGGCCAGGCUGGCCACAGGGAGGACUCAUCUGCCUCAGAUACCUACGAGGUGGGUAACUCUGGGCAAAUCCCUGCACCCUGUCAGCCUCAGUUUCCUCAUUUAUAAAAUGAGCCGGAGUAGGAAAUGGCCAAACCAGUCCAGUGUCUCCAUUGGCAAUGCCGGGACAGGCCUGAAAUAACUCAGCAGCAACAACAACCAGCUGCUUUAGAGAAUUGGAAUUUAAUCUAUAGAGAAUUUUGAGAAUGAACAGCUAAGCACUGAGCAGGUAAGUGACUUAUCUAGGGUCACACAUUCAGAAUGUAUCUGAACUAGGCCAUAUACGCCUUCAAUUAUCCGUGGCUUUUUUUGUUCUUUAAAUAGAGUGUCCACCAAUGUGGUGGCAUAAGUCAAGAUGGCACUGGGGUGGUCAGCUCACUGCCCUUUCCCCAUCCUACUCAUCUAGAUCCUGUUUCUUGAGAAGAUCCCUGUCCAGAGCUGGAGGGCAAGAGACCAUGGGAGAGCGUCACAGAUUUUGAGUCACAAGGGAACUUAGAGUUCUUCCAGGGGACGGCUCUCAUUCCUCAUCCGGUGAAAGUAAAGGAUUCUGGGUUAUCGGAGCUAGAGAGAACUUUGGAGAUCAUUUAGACCAACCGCCACACUUAACAAUGUAAGAAACUGAGGCUGCAGUGAUGUCCCCUAGCUGUUGUCUAGUGUGGGAAGCAGGCUUCGUGGUCAGCUUUGAGCUCCCUACAUCAUAGUAGAGGGCAUGGCUGUGGGGUGGAGGCCAUGACUGGUGUGGAGGCCAUGACUGUGGUGUGGGUCCUGAGACAGAGGCAGAGAAGUAGAGGGACUUAAGGUGGGACAUGAGGAUGUUGGCUGAAGAGCGUCCAGAGGAGAUGGGGGAGCUUCUUACAAGGAGCCUUGCCUGCUGCCUUAAUGCUGCUGCUUGCCUUCUGCCCCACAUCCUGUUUGCUUGCUGUCACCCCUUUUAGCUUUUUCACUUUGAGUGGGACAAGUGAGGAAAGUGCCCAAGAUGAGGCCCGAGGAUGGGCAGGGGUCUCCGCGAGAGAUCACUUUCCGUGAUCUUCUUCCCUCAGACACUUGCCUCUUCCACACUUCCCCAUUAUGGCCAGAGCAUCCUUCCUGUCACCCAGGGGUGUGACCUUGGAAUCACCUCAGCUCUUCAUCCUCACUCACUCUAUGAAGUCCAUCAGUUUCUAGGUCUAGAAGAGCCAGAAAGAGCAUCCCUUGCCCUCUGCUCCCCAAUCGCCCUCUGCUCCCUCUCCAGGGAAGUAACCUUUGUGGCCUCUAUAAGCACUGGAACCCUCACCUCCUCAGAUGUGGAAAAGAAAAUGUUCCUCACCAAAGGCCUCCGAGGGCUGUCAAAUGGUUCAGCCAGAAGUGGACGUGAUUUUAUUUGGAGGAAAUUACUAGGUGCUUAAUAAAGGCUUCUUCUCAUCCCCCCUUUUGCGGUCAUACCCCGAGAAUCAAUGAGCGCUUCCAUCGUCCCUGCAGCUGGACCAUCCUCUCCAUGUUGUCCCCUGUGUUCAAAUGUGAACCCCUUGAGAUCGCUGACUCUCUUUUCUCUCUAUCUCUGCAACAUUUAGAACACUGCUUUGCAUCUUGUGAAGGGUUUUAAAUAAACAAUUGUUCAUUCAUUCGUUUAUUUUAUUUCUCUCAUUUCGGUGACACACAAGUGGCCCAGCCAUCCCUUCGUUUGGGCCCUCUUUGCCUUUUGCCUGGAUUAUUGCCAUGUUACUUUGCA